UACGGGGGGGGCAAGCGUUGUUCGGAAUUACUGGGCGUAAAGGGCUCGUAGGUGGCCAACUAAGUCAGACGUGAAAUCCCCAGGCUCAACUUGGGAACUGCGUCUGAUACUGGAUGGCUUGAAUUCGGGAGAGGGAUGCAGAAUUCCAGGUGUAGCGGUGAAAUGCGUAGAUAUGACAUAGAACACCAAUUGCGAAGGCAGCUGACUACGGGAGCAUUGACACUGAGGCACGAAAGCGUGGGGAUCAAACAGG
rnacentral:rRNA from 1 species